rnacentral:rRNA from 1 species
GAGCGCAACCCUUGUCCUAGUUACCAGCACGUUAUGGUGGGCACUCUAAGGAGACUGCCGGUGACAAACCGGAGGAAGGUGGGGAUGACGUCAAGUCAUCAUGGCCCUUACGGCCUGGGCUACACACGUGCUACAAUGGUCGGUACAAAGGGUUGCCAAGCCGCGAGGUGGAGCUAAUCCCAUAAAACCGAUCGUAGUCCGGAUCGCAGUCUGCAACUCGACUGCGUGAAGUCGGAAUCGCUAGUAAUCGUGAAUCAGAAUGUCACGGUGAAUACGUUCCCGGGCCUU